UGCCACAAUUUUGUUUGAUAAACAUGUUGCAAAUCAUUUUUUCUAUCCUGUUUCAUAUGUUUCCUUUCUUUUUGCGUUUAAUUGAGACAGUUUUCAUAAUUAGAUGUUAUAUCAUGCUAAAAUAGCUAUUGAUUAUAUGCGAUUUGUGAACCGGGCAUAAAGAAUUCUAUUUUUUUCAAUUUGUUUACAGAGUGUGAGCAAGACCUUGAUUUCCUUCAGUCUGAUGUUGACAUGGCUUCAAAGAAAGUUGAUAUUUUGUACGAUCACAAUGUGUUAGAUGGUAUCGAAAUCGGACCGAACAUGAAUGAAGUGGGACAUGAAUGAGAAGUGAUGCUUGUAGGAGAGCUGGAAGACGACAAUACAGUCGAUAACUUGGAGCAUCCAUCAUCCAAGGAGUUAUUAUUGGAUUGCUCAUUGGAUGAAGAGGUUGGUUAUCACUUUUCGAAAUUUUGGGCUGAGAUAGAUAUGGGGAAUCCAUAGUUUGAGGUCGGACAACUCUUUUGGUCAAUGCAAGAGUUUUGAAAUGUAGUGAGAACUUACGGAGCUUUGAAUGGGUAUGAUCUAAGAUUCAAAUGUAGCGAUAGAAUACGAGCUCAAGGAGUUUGCAAAUUAGGGUGUAAUUGGAGGAUAUAGACUUCGAAAUUGAAUGAGAAUGGUACAGUACAAGUGAAGUCUUAUGUGCCUGAUCACACAUGCACACGGGGCUAACACAAUAGACAUUAUAUCUUCUUGACCCAGAGAUAGAGUUGUUUAAGAUCCUGGCUAGAAAACAAAAUCUAUUUUGGUGACCGUGAAAGAAGACUAGAAGAUGGAGAUAAGUAGAAAUGUUGCAUGCAAGAUGAGGGACUAUGCGAAGGAAUUGUUGUUUGGAAACAUUACGAAACAAUUUCGGCUUCUGAGGUAGUUCGAAGUAAUUUGGGAUCAAUUGUGAUAAUAGCCCUCGACAAGCAAGUUUUCAAAGGCAUCUACAUAUACUUCAAUGACUGCAAGUUAGGGUUUACGAGUGGUUGCAUGAAAGUGGUUGCUAUUGACGAGUGCUAUUUGUGAGGGUGUUUUGGGGAAAUUAAGUUAACUGCAGUAGGGCAUGAUGCUAAUGAUUGUAUCAAUCCCAUGGCAUAUGUUGUUGUACAAAAGGAGAACACGCAAUCUUGGAAGUCGUUCAUGAAGUAUCUGGCAGAGGACAUUGAAAUAGGCUACGGUAACAGGUGGACAUUGAUGACAGACGGGCAAAAGGGACUUCAAAAUGUGUAUGAAGAGUUAUUCCCAAAGGCAAAACAUCGCUUUUGUGUACGAGAUGCAUACAAACAUUUUCAAUGUAGGAUUUAAGGGAAAAAUUCUAAAGGAUUUUAUUUGGCGUGCCACAAAGUCAACAGUGCCACAAAGUCAACGGUUGUCGCUAAUACAAAUGUGGAUGCAAAAAAUUCAUGAAGUGAUUGAAGAAUAUAUAAGUGGUUGACAAAGACACCUUCAUGAGUGGAGUCAAUCACGCUUUUCAGUGCGUUCGAAGUGUGAUAUUGUAUUAAACAACGGAUGUGAAGUUUUUAACAAAACAAUGCUAGAUGAUAGAGAAGUUGAUUCUAAAUAUGCUUAUGUCAAAUCCUAUACGUUUUUGUGAUGGUUUUUAGGUUUGGGAAAAUUAUUUUGAUUUACUAGAUGUGUCGAUGUUAAAUUUUAAUCUGACAAGUG
rnacentral:lncRNA from 1 species